rnacentral:rRNA from 1 species
UACGUAGGGUGCAAGCGUUAAUCGGAAUUACUGGGCGUAAAGCGUGCGCAGGCGGUUAUAUAAGACAGAUGUGAAAUCCCCGGGCUCAACCUGGGAACUGCAUUAGUGACUGUAUAGCUGGAGUGCGGCAGAGGGGGAUGGAAUUCCGCGUGUAGCAGUGAAAUGCGUAGAUAUGCGGAGGAACACCGAUGGCGAAGGCAAUCCCCUGGGCCUGCACUGACGCUCAUGCACGAAAGCGUGGGGAGCAAAC